AGUGAACGCUGGCGGUAGGCCUAACACAUGCAAGUCGAACGGCAGCACAGGAGAGCUUGCUCUCUGGGUGGCGAGUGGCGGACGGGUGAGGAAUACAUCGGAAUCUACUCUGUCGUGGGGGAUAACGUAGGGAAACUUACGCUAAUACCGCAUACGACCUACGGGUGAAAGCAGGGGACCUUCGGUCCUUGCGCGAUUGAAUGAGCCGAUGUCGGAUUAGCUAGUUGGCGGGGUAAAGGCCCACCAAGGCGACGAUACGUAGCUGGUCUGAGAGGAUGAUCAGCCACACUGGAACUGAGACACGGUCCAGACUCCUACGGGAGGCAGCAGUGGGGAAUAUUGGACAAUGGGCGCAAGCCUGAUCCAGCCAUACCGCGUGGGUGAAGAAGGCCCUCGGGUUGUAAAGCCCUUUUGUUGGGAAAGAAAUCCAGCUGGCUAAUACCCGGUUGGGAUGACGGUACCCAAAGAAUAAGCACCGGCUAACUUCGUGCCUGCAGCAGCCGCCG
rnacentral:rRNA from 1 species